rnacentral:misc_RNA from 1 species
GUUACACAAUAAAGUCAGAUAUUGCACGUUGACACAUGGUCAAAUUUGUGUGAUGGAAGAUAUUGAUGACCUUAGCUGAUCUUCUUUUAAAAAUAAAAAAUACACAAAAGCUAUAUGUAGAUGUGAUCAUGUGAGCUCCACAAAAGGGAAAUGCCACCACAGUUCUUUUAGUCAGCUGUGGAUCACGCUUUCAUUUUUUAUUUUUGCUAUUUUAUCUAAUUUUGUUAAUUAGUGUUGUCGGUGACUGCUAAUUGUGUAAUUUUGCAUAUAUGAUUUGCCAUUAUAUAUAUUGAAUUGAGGGCUGGUUGUUAUAAAUUGCUUUCUUCAAAAGAAGAAUGAUGAUAAGGAUGUAUAGAGAUAUGCUCAUGAAAAGGCACCACCAAGG